rnacentral:rRNA from 1 species
UACGUAGGUGGCAAGCGUUGUCCGGAUUUAUUGGGCGUAAAGAGCGUGUAGGCGGCCAAGCAGGUCAGCUGUGAAAACUCGAGGCUCAACCUCGAGACGUCGGUUGAAACCGUUUGGCUAGAGUCCGGAAGAGGAGAGUGGAAUUCCCGGUGUAGCGGUGAAAUGCGCAGAUAUCGGGAAGAACACCCGUGGCGAAGGCGGCUCUCUGGGACGGUACUGACGCUGAGACGCGAAAGCGUGGGGAGCGAACAGG